AUUGAACGCUGGCGGCAGGCCUAACACAUGCAAGUCGAGCGGAUGAAGGGAGCUUGCUCCUGGAUUCAGCGGCGGACGGGUGAGUAAUGCCUAGGAAUCUGCCUGGUAGUGGGGGAUAACGUCCGGAAACGGGCGCUAAUACCGCAUACGUCCUGAGGGAGAAAGUGGGGGAUCUUCGGACCUCACGCUAUCAGAUGAGCCUAGGUCGGAUUAGCUAGUUGGUGGGGUAAAGGCCUACCAAGGCGACGAUCCGUAACUGGUCUGAGAGGAUCAGUCACACUGGAACUGAGACACGGUCCAGACUCCUACGGGAGGCAGCAGUGGGGAAUAUUGGACAAUGGGCGAAAGCCUGAUCCAGCCAUGCCGCGUGUGUGAAGAAGGUCUUCGGAUUGUAAAGCACUUUAAGUUGGGAGGAAGGGCAGUAAGUUAAUACCUUGCUGUUUUGACGUUACCAACAGAAUAAGCACCGGCUAACUUCGUG
rnacentral:rRNA from 1 species